GACGAACCGUGCGAACGUUGUUCGGAAUCACUGGGCUUAAAGGGCGCGUAGGCGGGCCAUCAAGUCCGGGGUGAAAUCCUCCCGCUCAACGGGAGAACUGCCUCGGAUACUGAUGGUCUCGAGGGGGAUAGGGGCACACGGAACUGUGGGUGGAGCGGUGAAAUGCGUUGAUAUCCAUAGGAACUCCGGUGGCGAAAGCGGUGUGCUGGAUCCCUUCUGACGCUGAGGCGCGAAAGCCAGGGGAGCGAACGGG
rnacentral:rRNA from 1 species